GACACUCUUUUGGCUGUGAGGAAUAUGAAACUCGAAAAAAGAUUCUGCCUUGUAACUGACGAGAGAAGUGUGCCUUGUCCGAAGUGUCGGAGAACGUUCGCAAGAAUGCAUUACUUGUGAAGACACCUAGUGCAACUGCACGGAUUAGCAGCCUGCAAAAAAUACAAGACCUGUUACGAGGAAGUUCAUCAGCAUACCUGCACAACAAUGGCAACCAAAAAUAUAAACGCACAAUUUAAGUGUAGCGUUUGUAAUUUUUAAGCGUCAACGGAGUUCGAGACUUUGCUGUUCUUCAUCAGUAGAUUACAAUGCCUGCAUCAGGAGUUCUACCAGAAGCGAUAUCAGAAACUGAAUCAGAAAAUGUACCAGACGUUCUACCAAGAGAAACUGUACCUAGGACCAUAACAGAUAUUAUAGGUCUGGCAGCUCUGAAGAAACAGUCCAUUGCAGAAAUCGCUGGGUCAGCAGAGGUUUUGGAAAAACGUUCAAAGUAUCCUUGCGUACUUUGCGACAAUGUUUACGAAACAAGAUUGGCGUCCUUGUGUCACCUUGCAAGUGCGCACAAGCUUAACGCCGAGGAUGAGAGCCAAAAUCCUUUAAGCAUUCCAGAUCUCUUUAUUUCGCAUGAUGAGGCUGAGAGAUCUGAAUCGUUUUUUGGGCCACCCAAAUCUUUUUCUGGACCAUUUAAAUCAUGUACUGUACUGCCUGGGACGUCUGCUAGACCACCUGAACCGUCUGCUGGCCCAUCGGAAUCAUUAACUGCGACCUCUUUAGAAACAAACCGUCUGUCCAAAUAUCUUCCUUCUACCCUCCAAGAAAACAAAAUAGGGAAGCAAAAAAAAACUAAGAAGGGAGUGUCGAAUCUGUAGGCAAAUCAUGUCAACGCCUUUUGAUCUGCGAAUGCAUCUUCAAGCAGUUCAUGGAGUUUCGGCCAGUAACUGUACAGAAGAUGAAAACAAUAAAGAAAAUGCAUUGAACCCGAAUACACUAAACUCCCGAUAUAAGAACGCCUAGUUUACGAUAUUGUUAGAACUGAUGGCCUCCGUAGUUUCAUGCCGAGAGGAGCCGCGGGUACGAAAGAGAGGAAGUGCUCAGCCAAGCGUGACUAACAGCUCGAGAGCCGCAUUUACAGCGCGUUAGUUGCAUCAGCUUGGGUGCUUUAUUCGUCCAAAUUGAACAGCAAUGAUUCAUGCGACCCUGCUUAUUUACGUUUUAAGUCCCCUAAUUCAGGAUCAAGGCCAAUGAAACACAUGUCCGAAAUUGUUCUAAUAUCGAGAAUUGAGUGCAAUUCCUUGUACACCAUUUUGUAAUAAUAACUCGUAUCCAUAAAAU